AAUUAUAAACAUAAAACCUUGUUUGCACAGUGGUUAGCGGGUUUUAACCAUGAUAAAUCCACCCGGGUUUGAACCUCUUCCAGAGAUUUUUUGGUUGUUUUUAACUUUAAAACAUUAAUGAGGGGUAUAAUAGAUAUUACGUAAUCAUCUUCUUCCUUAUGUAUCUGCUGGAACCCUAACAUGGGGGCCGCCUCACUUUUUCUUUUUUCGUUUUUCAUUAUUUUCCUUCUUUUUCCUCUGUAUUUAUAGCCAAAAAUGAUAGAUUAAUCAGAAAACCUUCGAUUUUAAAGUUUAAAUGAACGAAAUCUUGAAUUUUUUAAGAUAGUCGAGUUUUUUCUCCGAUUAGCACCAAAUCGCGGCGGUUGGAGGCCGAGGAACGAUUUUCCGGCGAGUAAGCGGCCUUAGGCGCCGCGUUUUCGAACACGGGUAUGGAGUAUAUGUGUUGGCAAGAGGUAAAAGGAACCUAAAAUCUUAUCUAGUUCAAGUAUUCGAUAUUGACUUAGCAAUAAUGGCUGAUUGUGACUUUGUGAGUCACUCUCAUUUACUACCCAUAAAGAGCACAAUCAAUAACAAACAACAUUUAAAAGUUAGAGCUAUCUACUCUCCUUUAUUCCAGUAUAAUAAAUUCACAAAAUAGAUGAGAUUAAAUAUUUAUUGUAAGUCUAUAUUGAAUCUUAUACAUGAACAAUGUACAAGCAGAGGUUAUAUACAGACACUGAUACUAGGGUAUACCAUAGAAGUUAAUGACAAUAUAUUAUGUACAAUAAAUAAGAAUAUACGAAGAUCAAGCAUUGAUAGUGAUUGAUCUCUAAUACGUCCCCUCAAAAUGGAGGGGUUUGCACACUCCAAUCUUGCCAGCAAAUGAAAUGAAUGUUGGAUAUGGUAGGGGUUUGGUCAUAGCAUCUGCUAGCUGAUCCUCGGUUGAGACGUGUACCACUCGUAGUGUGCAUGACUUGACUUGGUUUCGAAUAAAAUUGUAGUCUAGCGCAACAUGCUUUAUUCUUGAAUGGAAGAUGGGAUUGACCCAUAAGUAGGUGGCUCCAUCAUAUGGCUGGUGGAAGGAGAGGCUUUCAAGGUCCGACAUAAUAUGGUGGGUUGUGCCCCUGUCCAUUAGCCAGUUGGUAGUAUUUUAGGAAGCAGUUACGGUGAGAUUAGCUCGAGGAUUUCAAGGCAUGAAUGGACUAACUUUCUGCUGACGAGGAGACUGAUAGCUUUUGAGUUGAGAGCAUUGCUUGGCACUGUUUCCUUGUGUGCCACAGAUCUGACAGCAUCCAAGUUGUUGCGCUGUUGUGCCAUAUUGGCUGUGACAAGAGUUGGUGAGACAAGAGCAUCCCUGAGGGAGAGGAGUUUGGCCUCGUGGUUUAGUAGGCGCUCAUGCAGCUCCGUGAUCAAUGGGGGAGCGUCCCUGCCUUCGAUCUGGUCUAUGACAUUUUUGUAAUCUUCUGGAAGUCCUUCGAGGAUGAGAUCGAUCUGGUCUUCGUGGUCAACUGCUUUCCCGAGAAUAGCUAGUCCAUCCAAACGAGUUGUGAUGCCUUGAAGGUUGAUGCAAGUGUGGUUCACACAUAAGAGGAGGUAGUGCAAUGCGAGACAUGAGGCUGGAGAGAUUGAGAGAUUACUCCUAGAAGUGCGCUAUAAAGGAGCUUGUCUUGAUGUUUCCACAAAGUGUAGGCCAGAUUUGUUGGAUGUGAUCAAGUCUUCAUCUUAUAUUAUUAGUUUAGAAGAUUCAUAUAUUAUAUAGUUAAGUAAUUAAUUUAUGUAUCGUAUCGUAUCACACACCGAACAGAUACAAAUAUAAUUGUUAACUGCAAAACAGUUACACAUGUGUAUGUACGUGUCUCUAUAUUGGGGUUGUCUUCAAGAGACAUGUCCCUUAGUUAGUUUCUCAUGUAAAACUAUAAAUACAUUCUAAAUAUCUAAUAAAGUAAUGUGGCUUUCGUUAUAUAAGAAUAAAGCAAUAUAUUGAGUGUCAAGGAAGAAACAGAGAACGAGAGAUAAAACAGAGUAAAAUCUAUGUUGUCUGAUGCUUAAGACCAACUGCAACGGUGAUUUUAGAUGAGUCCUUAUCGUUAAUCCUUAGCAUUAUUUCAAUAUAAUAUUAUUAUUUUGGCUUAAUUAGCUAAGGAUCAAUCCUUCAAGAGGGAUUGGAAAGAUUCAAUCCUUAACACACGUGUCUCUCUCUAUCUCUCCUCCCACGCUCUCUCUCGAUCUCUCCUUGCUCCAUCAUCUCCCACCAUGGCUCCUCUAUAAUCUUCCUCUUCAUCUCCCACCACGUCUCUUGCUUUACUGCUUUCUCCGUUCUUUCGGUAGGCGCAAGUGUUCAUCAUCCAUCCGCCCUCAAACACAGAAGAGACAAUCGUUUCGUUCGUCAUCUUUGAAGGUAUUUGCAGUACUUUCCGAUUAACGAUUAGCUUAAUAUUUGAUUAAUUAACCAUCUGAUCCGACUGUUGUUCGAAAACUCUGGAGUGUAGAUUCAUAAAGUAUCUAUCCGUACUCUAUCAAUUUGAUUGGCCCAUGGUUAUUCUCCAGAAAUUUGUAAUGGAAUCGGUAGAAAUUGAUUGUACUUGUCCUGGGUUUGUUAAUUGUAAAUCUCGGAACCUCUCUUUGUUUUCUGUUAAUUUUUGUUUUUUUUGUUUGUGUGUUUUCAAGAUUUAGGAAAUUUCCGGUUAGAUCUCCGGCUUAAUCUUGUACAGUUGGUAUUGGAUUUUGUUUAUAUUGCCUUGUUGUUUGAAAUUGAAACGCUCAAGUUUUUGUUUUGCUUAAUAUGAGAAUGUUUCCGCACUUUGUUUCUUCAUUUGGUAUUGACUGUCUGUUCUUGUGAUCUUGUUGUCUGUUCUGAUCUUGUAUGUUCUUGUGAUCUUGUUGUCUGUUCUGAUCAGGGACAAUGUCUUCUCAAACUGGAAAUUCACAGAGACCGUCUCUUUCCAUCAGGUGGGUUUCUCUACUUUCGAUUAGUUAUAGAUUGAUUAGAUUUUUGAAGCUCUUUGCUUCAAUCUAUAGAUGUCUGUGGUAAUGAUGGCUAAAGUCGAUAGCUUUAGUAGAUUUUUAUUGUGGAUAUGUGAAAAACAGAACUAGAGAAGACACAAAGUAAUAGACUUGUGUUGUUAGUAAUAAUGGAGUUUGGUUUUUGUGGGUGACGUUUUUAGGUGCCAAUCAACUAAUACCAAAGAGCCAAAGAGUAGUUGUAAUAUUCUGGACAAUGCGAGCAACCUUUUUACAAACAUGUUAAGCGGUGGAAGUUUCGGUUCAAUGGCCACUGCUGAAGGAGCUGUCUCUGAUUUGUUUGGGAAGCCUCUCUUCUUAUCCCUCUACGACUAGUUUAUGGAGGUAUAUGCUAUUAAGACUUACUCUGAUUUACAUCUUAAAGUUGAGAACUUUGUUGUUUUGAUUAUGUGAUGUUCUUGUUUUAAAGCAUGGAGGAGUUUACAAACUUGCGUUUGGUCCAAAGGUAUUUGUUGUCAUCUCUGAUCCUAUUGUUGCGGCAUGUCCUCAGAGAGAACGCGUUUUCCUAUGACAAGGUAAUGGAGUCAGUCAGUGUCUUUGUUUUGUUUUCUUUUGGUACCACCAUCAAGUAACUUUCCUUUGUGUUUUUCUUUAGGGAGUUCUUGCUGAGAUCUUAGAGCCCGUCAUGGGAAAAGGGUUGAUACCUGCUGACCUUGAUACCUGGAAGUUAAGAAGAAGAGGGGUAAGUAAAGCUGUUUUUGUUACUCUCUCUAUGUUUAUGGCCAUUAAUGAUGAUCUGUGUUGCAGCUAUAACUCCUGCGUUCCAUGCAUUGUAUUUGGAGGCCAUGGUCAAAGUAUUCAGCAACUGUUCUGAGAAAAUGAUACUGAAAUUGAAAUUGAAAAACUUAUAGUUUUUAAACUUAUACAUUUUUAAAUUUCUCUUUUCUGGUAUAUUUAUUUUUAAUCAUACAAUUAAUAAAAUUUCAAUUUCAAUUUAAAAAAAAAAUAUUUUUUUUAUUUUUAAGAACUCCUAAUUGGAGAUCACCAUUGGACACAUUAUUUUGACUAGAGUCCUUAACUAUUCAAACAAAAAAAAUUAAUAUAAUAAUAAUAAAGACUCCAAGAAGGAGUCCACCAUUGCAGAUGCUCUAAUAACUUUAGUGUUUCGCGUGUUCUCUAGUGUCUCUGUCAAUGUACAAGUUAUAUACAGAUAUACUUAUACUAGGGUACGAUAGAAGUUAAUGACAAUAUAUUAUAAACAAUAAAUGAGAAUAUACGAAGAUCAAUCAUUGAUAUUGACUGAUCUCUAAUAUUUAUUUGGCCAAAGUUCCUCUAGUAAGUAUUGUAGGUGUCAAAAGGAAGAAGAUCACACACUUCUCUUUAGACAAAACAUAAUUUGGUUUUCAAUUUUAUAAUGAAAAUGGGAGUCUGA